rnacentral:rRNA from 1 species
GACAGAGGAGCCAAGCGUUGUCCGGAGUAACUGGGCGUAAAGCGCACGCAGGUGGUUUGGCACGUGGGGUGUGAAAGCUCUCGGCUCAACUGAGAGAGGCCACCUCAUACGGCCAAGCUCGAGCCCUGCAGAGGUCCACGGAAUUGCCGGUGUAGUGGUGAAAUGCGUAGAGAUCGGCAGGAACACCCAGGGGGAAACCAGUGGACUGGGCAGGCGCUGACACUCAUGUGCGAAAGCGUGGGGAGCGAACCGG